CGUGUAGAACUAGCUGGUGCCAUGACUUCGGGUUUCUUCUCACUUUCUACUGAAGAGGUGAAGAGCUCCACUACUGCUCACCUAAAAUGAAGAUGCAGGGAAAACCAAGAAAGCUGGAGACUGAGUGACCCCCACAAUCUGAAAUUCUAUCAUCACAGUAAUGAACAAAACGGAGCACAUGGCAGAUGCCUGCUGAGGGGAAUCCAGCGGCCAAACUGUGGGCACUCAUACAGCCCUAUGAAGAGGUCCACAUGGCAAAGAACUGUGGCUCCCUAUCAACAGGCAGCAUUAACUUGCCAGCCAAGAAGAGAACUGAAUAGAAGGCUACUGAACCAAGAGAUAAUCACCUGUAUUUGAGACAAAACAUCCAGUAGCAGUAUCAAGACAAAUGGGGAGAAACCUAAAGAUAGGUAGAACAUUUAAACAAUGACCACAAUAGUCUGGUGAAGAUGACAGAAGAACCUGAGCCAAAGCUUUAAAAAAAUGGAACAGAAAAAACAGCUAUGGAUUUAGAAAUAAACUAGUUGUGGAAGCUGACAGAAAAAGAAAUGAGUUUAAUAAGACUGACUUAAUGAAAAGAUGGUGUGAAAGCUCAGGUCAUGAUCCCUGGUUUCAUGAGAUCGACCCCCACAUCGCGCUCUGUCCUGACAGCGUGGAGCCUGC